AAAAAGUGAAACUGGAGCAGAUGAUAUAAUGGAUCAGCCAUGAGCCCAUCAAAAUGGUUCCAAAGUUGUAAUUCCGUCCUAAUUUAUUUUUACCCAAAAACCUUGUUCAAGUCUUUUUGAUCAAUUGGCAAAGGCGUGGAGUUGAGAAACAUCAUUGUUGGAAUAUGAUGCAGCCCAAAUUGAGAGAAAUAAAAUAAGAGAGUUAUCGGUGAAAACCUAUGGGCACCAUAAGGCGACGGUGAGUAGAGAAAUUGAAAAUAAGUGGUCCAUUUGGUGAAAACUCGUGAAGAGCACUAUCGGGCGACGGUGAGAAGAGAAAUGAGAGAGGUCGAUUGGCGAAAAUCCACAAAGGGCGUCAUCGGCUGAAAACAAGGUACCUCCCACCACAAAAAGAGUUCUGGCAAGGUUCCUUGGUUUUGAAAUACGG
rnacentral:lncRNA from 1 species